UGGUCCAUUCCAAUGCCUCAG
rnacentral:piRNA from 1 species